CAGCAGCCGCGGUAAUACAGAGGGUGCAAGCGUUAAUCGGAAUUACUGGGCGUAAAGCGCGCGUAGGUGGUUUGUUAAGUUGGAUGUGAAAUCCCCGGGCUCAACCUGGGAACUGCAUCCAAAACUGGCAAGCUAGAGUAUGGUAGAGGGUGGUGGAAUUUCCUGUGUAGCGGUGAAAUGCGUAGAUAUAGGAAGGAACACCAGUGGCAAAGGCGACCACCUGGACUGAUACUGACACUGAGGUGCGAAAGCGUGGGGAGCAAACAGGAUUAGAUACCCCUGUAGUCCCUGUCUCUUAUAC
rnacentral:rRNA from 1 species